AACGAACGCUGGCGGCAGGCCUAACACAUGCAAGUCGAGCGCACCCUUCGGGGUGAGCGGCGGACGGGUGAGUAACGCGUGGGAACGUGCCCUUCUCUGCGGAAUAUCCUCGGGAAACUGAGAGUAAUACCGCAUACGCCCUUUGGGGGAAAGAUUUAUCGGAGAAGGAUCGGCCCGCGUUGGAUUAGGUAGUUGGUGGGGUAAUGGCCCACCAAGCCGACGAUCCAUAGCUGGUUUGAGAGGAUGAUCAGCCACACUGGGACUGAGACACGGCCCAGACUCCUACGGGAGGCAGCAGUGGGGAAUCUUAGACAAUGGGGGCAACCCUGAUCUAGCCAUGCCGCGUGAGUGAUGAAGGCCUUAGGGUUGUAAAGCUCUUUCAGCUGGGAAGAUAAUGACGGUACCAGCAGAAGAAGCCCCGGCUAACUCCGUG
rnacentral:rRNA from 1 species